UGCUACAAACGCGUUUUGAACGGUACCCAGUUGCAUGUGGCGCGCAUUGAAGAACUGUGCAACGACUCGCAAAAACCAGAAUUCAACUCGUAUCGAAGUGAAUAAAUGAAUUAAAGGCAUACAAAUAUAUAUGAAUAAUUGAUAUAUGUCUAUGCAUAUUGUAUGUGCUCGAAGUACAUGAAUAAUUAGCCUUAAACUAAUUGUCACUGUGUGUGUGUAUUUUGUGUUGUGUCUAUGUGUGUGUGUGUUUUAGCCAAGUGUCAAGUUGAUUAGCUGACAAACAACGAACAACAACAAAUUGUGAAUUGUGCAUUCCAGUGACGCAUAUAAGGUGUCUGGCAGAGCCGAACAGUGAACAGUUGAACAGCCGAGCGCACUUCGGCUUCGUGCUGUGUGUUUAUUUAACACACUUCCUCGUGUCCUCAGCAGUCAGUUCGUAUCCGCAUCUCGUGCCGUGCGCUCCGUUCGUUGUCGUCGUCGUCACCCACUACAAAAACACACCAACAAAACACGCACUCUGAAGUUGCAAUCGCCAAGUUGUCAGUUGUGUCGGCAGACAGAAAAACGUUAUCGCGUCAAAUCGCGUGCGACAAUGUGAGAAACAGUUCGAUUCAGUUCGAUCAGUAUUAAUCCUUGGCUCAAUGGUAACCGCCGUGCUCAAAUCGUCGCAUUCCUUUUGUUGUUGGCAACGUUGAAUAUUACAUUUUUCAAAAAAAAAAAAGAAAGUAGAAUAGAAAUAAAGAAAACGAAGCGAGUGUUAUUAGUACUCUGCUCGUUAUUGUUGUUGUGAGUGCUGUGUGUGUGUGUGUGUUUUGUUUUUAGCUAUCGCCCAGGACCACCGAACCACCGACAUGUGCUCGAUGGCCAAGUUGGGGCAUAGCCUGCUUGGCGCUAUCGCCUGGCUUCUGUUGCUGCUCGGCGCGCAAAUAAUUUAUGUGGAUUAUGCUCGGGCGGAUUAUGAGAACACUUGGAAUUUAUAUUACGAGCCACCUUGUUGCACGGGCGCAGCAUCUGUUGGCCAUCACUUGCGGCAUCACAAAGAACAUGUCAGAGACUUUAGUUGUGGGCCGCUGCACUAUAAAACCUUCUACAUGGAUGAGCGCAACAAUGCGCUCUACGUUGGCGCCAUGGAUCGCAUAUUUCGCCUCAAUCUGCGCAACAUCAGUCAAUCCAUCUGUGAGCGCGAUGUCUUAAUACUGGAACCUACUGGAUCCGACAUCCUCAACUGUGUGUCCAAGGGCAAGAGAGAGAAGGUCGAGUGCCGGAAUCAUAUUCGUGUCAUCCAGCCGAUGAACUUCAAUGGACAUCGCCUCUACGUUUGCGGCACUAAUGCGCACAACCCCAAGGAUUAUGUCAUAAAUGCCAACUUAACACAUUUACCCAGAUCCCAGUACGUGCCCGGCAUUGGGUUGGGCAUUGGCAAGUGUCCCUACGAUCCUGCUGACAACUCAACCGCCGUCUAUGUGGAAAACGGAAAUCCCUUUGGUUUGCCUGCGCUGUAUGCUGGAACAAACGCUGAGUUUACUAAAGCUGAUUCCGUGAUAUUCCGUUCGGAUCUGUACAACUUUACAACCGGUCGUAAAGAGGCCAACUUCAAGCGCACCGUCAAAUACGAUUCCAAAUUACUGGACAAACCCAAUUUUGUGGGCUCGUUCGACAUUGGCGACUUUGUGUAUUUCUUCUUUCGGGAGCACGCCGUGGAGUACAUCAAUUGUGGCAAGGCCGUCUAUUCACGUGUGGCACGCGUGUGCAAAAAUGAUCGCGGUGGCAAGUACAUGAUCAGCCAGAACUGGGCGACGUAUCUUAAGGCGCGGAUGAACUGCAGCAUAUCGAGCGAGUUUCCCUUCUAUUUCAACGAAAUCCAAUCGGUCUAUAAGAUGCCCAACGACGAUAGCAAAUUCUAUGCCACAUUUACAACGAACACGAAUGGACUGAUUGGCUCCGCGGUCUGCAGUUACGAUAUAAGAGAUAUCAAUGCGGCCUUCGAAGGCAAGUUCAAGGAACAGGCGACAUCGAAUAGCGCUUGGCUGCCCGUGCUGAACUCUAAAGUGCCGGAACCACGUCCGGGCACAUGCCACAACGACACCGCAACACUGCCGGACUCGGUGUUGAAUUUCAUACGCAAACAUCCGCUAAUGGACAAGGCGGUCGAUCAUGAAUUUGGCAAUCCGGUAUUCUACAAACGAGACGUAAUCCUCACCCGCCUUGUGGUCGACAAAAUUCGCAUCGACAAGCUGAACCAGGAGUUCCUCGUGUACUUUGUGGCCACGAGUCAUGGCCAAAUCUACAAGAUUGUGCAGUUCAUGCACUAUGGCCAACGACACUCCAAUCUGGUGGACAUCUUUGAGGCUUCGCCACGCAACGAGCCAAUUCGUGAGCUGACACUGAGUCAGAAGACUGGCUCACUUUAUCUGGCCACCGAUCAUCAGGUGAAGCAAAUCGAUCUGGCUAUGUGUGCGCGUCGCUACGACAGCUGUUUCCGCUGCGUGGCGGAUCCGUAUUGUGGCUGGGAUAAGGAGGUGAAUGCUUGUCGGCCGUAUCAACUGGGAUUGCUGCAGGAUGUGGCCAACGAGACGUCGGGCAUCUGCGAUACGAGUGUGUUGCGCAAACGUGUCACCUCCUCCUAUGGCCAGACGCUGCAUCUGUCGUGCUUCGUCAAAAUGCCCGAUGUGCUGCGCAAGAAGCAGACGCGCUGGUAUCAUCAUUCCACCGAGAAGGGGCGCUACGAGGUUCGCUACACGCCCACCAAAUACAUCGAGACCAACGAGGGCGGCCUUGUCUUGUUGGCUGUGAACGAAGGCGAUGGCGGACGUUACGAUAGCUACUUGGAUGGCACCCUGCUGUGCAGCUAUGGCGUUACUGUGGAUGCUCACAGAUGUUCGCCGCCAUCGCAGAAACAGGACUACCAGAAGAUCUAUUCGCAUUGGUGCAACGAGUUCGAGAAAUACAAAUCAGCCAUGAAGCAAUGGCAAGCCAAGCAGGAGCAAUGCGGCCUGAAGGACAAGACGGCGCCAACCAGCAGCAAUGGCAAACAUGUCAACGAUGUGUUCAGCAACGACGCCUUGGUCUGACCCAGAAAGUACUUGUUCAGCUCUGAGGCCUUGUCGGCGGGUGUUCGUUCCACUUUCGGCCACCAAUUGUACAUUUUCACCUUGGUUAUUGUGCUUGCCACGUGUACUACUAGUUUCUAAAGUCUCUAGUUAAACCGACGAGAACAUUGAUGACCAGGUGAUAACUGAUUAAGUAGCACCCAGAAAGCAGUGACAAGAGCCGAGCAACCAACUACAAAGACUGAAAUUUUUAAGCUUUUGAAAGACAAUAUUUCAAUAUGUUUUCAAUAUGUGUUUGCUUCAUUUACAAAAAAAAAAGAAAGGUACUCGUACUCGUAUAUAGAAAUUGUUUAGUGCUCCUUUGUUUGGCAUUCGAAUAUAAUCUUAUUAUCUAAGCAACAAACCAUCAACAACAACAAAUACACACACACAACUAGCUAAACAAGUGUUAAGUAAACGUUUAAAAGUUACUAACAAAAGGAUCCUGCCAUAAUGAAAAUGGAAAAUACGGUUUUACAUACAUAGAACAGAGUCUCUAUUUCUAAUUCUAUUUCUAUUUGCGAUAACUCUUCGGAAAGUAUCACGAAAUUAUUGCUAAGACUAACUUAACAAAAAUGAAAACGAAAAUGAAAAUGAAUAUGAAUAUGAAUGAAAGAAAAUCCACCUACAUGACAUAAUACUCGUACAUAGACGAAGCUGAACAGGACUUCAAGGAGCUGCAACGACAGCAAACGAAUGAAAUAGAAAUAUUCAACGAAUUUUUGCCUUUACUUUUUGUGUAUAUUACGUAAUGCAUUUGGAUUUCUAUUUCUAUUUCCGUUUCCUGUUCCGUUCGUGUUUCUGUUCUGUUCUCAUUUCUGUUUCUGUUUCUGUUUCGAUUGUGGAAACAACUUUUGGCAAAUCAAAUACAAAGAUUGUGUCGCUUGGCCAUGGGAAAGAUCUUAAACGAAUUUGUAUAUUAACUAGCAAUAUUUGUUUAAUAAUUCUAGCAAUAGUUAUAUAAUACUUAAUAUUAAAAUACAAUAUAGUAUGUAUCAAUAAGUAGUACUUACUCAAUAACAACAACUGGCUCUGGCCUCUGGCGUACAUUGUAUUUUAUUGAACCAAAAUUUCAAGAUAUUGCCAACAUUUUGAACACGCACAGCCCAACUUUGGUCUCUAAGGUUAAGGUUAAGUAUUGUAUAUAAUGAUAUGCUUUAGUUAUAAUCGAUUAAAUGCAUUUACAGCCACUAAGGAUAUAUGUUUUAUGAAUGAAUCCAAUAAAAAUUAGAAUAGUCUUGGCCUUUGUUUUAGUCUGAGCAAGAUAAUAAAUUGAAAAUUUUGUGUACGCUGGAAACUUCGGUUCAGGAUUGUUUUUACAUUGUAUAUUUACGCAUUUUAUUUUCAACAAGUUUUUUGGCUAAACAAGAACACGCUAACGGCAAUAUUUGGCCGUCCUUGUAUAGAUUGGCGCGUUAGCCUAAUGUUUACUAUAAGCAAUAUAUGCAUACAUAUACACACAUACAUACAUACACAGACACACAUAGUUACUGCAUUGAGACCAACAUGCUCAUCUACAUAGACACAUAUAGAAUAUAUAAUACUUAAGUAUAGCGUAUUUAUUAUUAAUCUUAGAUCUAAGUAAGUUGGUGUGGCAAAUACAGUUUAAUAAUGUUUAACGAAGUUUGGAUGCUGUCUGUCGUGGGUCUAUCUGAGAGAUAGAUAUGGAUAGAGCGAGACAGCUUCUGAAGCCAUAGAGAUACAUCAGAUAACUGCCAGAUAAAUGCCCCUAUUCUCCUCCCCAUUAAAUAGUUCAAUAUGCGAUAAACUUAAAACUUAUCUAACUAUCAACAAUAUUGAAAUGCAAAAGACAUGGAAAACUAAACGCUUCUCUGAUCGGAAGGCCAUUGAAGGUCGUCUUUCAAACGAAGAAAAGAUAUGAAAAGAAAAGCCCAUAGGUACAUUAUUCGAUGGUAUUGUAGGUAUAUAUGCGUAAUUUAAUAAAUAAUAUUUUUCUAAAGGUUUUCUCAGACAAAAAACAAAUGAAAUAAAAAACAAAAAGAAACUAAAACUAAACAAAACAAUUUUAAUGUUUCCAUCUAAAAGUUAUCCACACACAACAACUUUUAGCUUAGUCCUUAGUAAUAUCCAUUGUAAAUGAAUAAAAAGUGAAAAAUACUCUUAUUGUAUUUUUGUCAGCUACUAAUGCUCUGAGCUUCUAACUUGAUACACAAACAAGUUUCUUUUGCUUUUUUGUAGACACAAUUUGAUUUAAGGUUUAUUGUAAAUAAUUUAAAGAUUAUGUGAAAUGUUUUGUAUGACAAUCACAUGAUGUUGAGCAAAUGAAAAUAUAUUGUAUUAUGACCCGUAUAAAUGAAGCAAAUUGCAAUGUCAGUAAUUAAUGAAUUCAGAAUGCAAAUAAACGCAAACAAAAAAAAUGAAAAACAAAA